rnacentral:rRNA from 1 species
GACGAACGCUGGCGGCGUGCUUAACACAUGCAAGUCGAACGGAAAGGCCCUGCUUUUGUGGGGUGCUCGAGUGGCGAACGGGUGAGUAACACGUGAGUAACCUGCCCUUGACUUUGGGAUAACUUCAGGAAACUGGGGCUAAUACCGGAUAGGAGCUCCUGCUGCAUGGUGGGGGUUGGAAAGUUUCGGCGGUUUGGGAUGGACUCGCGGCUUAUCAGCUUGUUGGUGGGGUAGUGGCUUACCAAGGCUUUGACGGGUAGCCGGCCUGAGAGGGUGACCGGCCACAUUGGGACUGAGGUACGGCCCAGACUCCUACGGGAGGCAGCAGUGGGGAAUGUUGCGCAAUGGGCGGAAGCCUGAUGCAGCAACGCCGCGUGCGGGAUGACGGCCUUCAGGUUGUAAACCGCUUUCGCCUGUGACGAAGCGUGAGUGACGGUAAUGGGUAAAGAAGCACCGGCUAACUACGUG